rnacentral:rRNA from 1 species
AUUGAACGCUAGCGGCAGGCUUAACACAUGCAAGUCGAGGGGCAGCACGAUGUAGCAAUACAUUGGUGGCGACCGGCGCACGGGUGCGUAACACGUAUGGAACUUGCCCUUUACUGGAGGAUAGCCCGGAGAAAUCCGGAUUAAUACUCCAUAACAGUCGAGGUGGCAUCACCUUGGCUUGAAAGCUCCGGCGGUAAAGGAUGGCCAUGCGCACGAUUAGCUAGUUGGUGAGGUAACGGCUCACCAAGGCUACGAUCGUUAGGGGCCUGAGAGGGUUA